GUGGGGAAUAUUGCACAAUGGGCGCAAGCCUGAUGCAGCCAUGCCGCGUGUAUGAAGAAGGCCUUCGGGUUGUAAAGUACUUUCAGCGGGGAGGAAGGCGUUGUGGUUAAUAACCACAGCGAUUGACGUUACCCGCAGAAGAAGCACCGGCUAACUCCGUGCCAGCAGCCGCGGUAAUACGGAGGGUGCAAGCGUUAAUCGGAAUUACUGGGCGUAAAGCGCACGCAGGCGGUCUGUCAAGUCGGAUGUGAAAUCCCCGGGCUCAACCUGGGAACUGCAUUCGAAACUGGCAGGCUAGAGUCUUGUAGAGGGGGGUAGAAUUCCAGGUGUAGCGGUGAAAUGCGUAGAGAUCUGGAGGAAUACCGGUGGCGAAGGCGGCCCCCUGGACAAAGACUGACGCUCAGGUGCGAAAGCGUGGGGAGCAAACAGGAUUAGAAACCCUGGUAGUCC
rnacentral:rRNA from 1 species